rnacentral:rRNA from 1 species
GACGAACGCUGGCGGCGUGCUUAACACAUGCAAGUCGAGCGGUAAGGCCUCUUCUGGGGUACACGAGCGGCGAACGGGGGAGUAACACGUGGGUGACCUGCCCUCAGCUCUGGGAUAAGCGUGGGGAACUGGGUCUAAUACCGGAUAUGAACUUUCCUCGCAUGGGGGUUGGUGGUAAGGUUUUUCGGCUGGGGAUGGGCCUGCGGCCUAUCAGCUUGUUGGUGGGGUGGUGGCCUACCAAGGCGACGACCGGUAACCGGCCUGAGAGGGCGCCCGCCCGCCCUGGGAGGGAGGCACCGCCCAGGAUCCUUCGGGAGGCGGCGGUGGGGAAAUUUGGGCAAGGGGCGGAAGCCUGGCGCGGCGACGCCGCGGGGAGGAUUACGGCCUUCGGGUUGGAAAAGUCUUUCUACCCCGACGAAUUUUGACGGUAGCGGUAGAAUAAGCACCGGCCAACUACGUG